rnacentral:lncRNA from 1 species
ACUGUGCCAGAAACGUGAAUAUUCCCGCACAGAAUGCAAAUGAAAAGAGGCUGGUGUUUUGUGUCUGGUUGUAAGAAUAGACAUGAAUAUAAGAAAAGCAAGAAGGCAUUUUUCUCUGUGCCCUCGGGUGAGGAUCGCAAAAAAUGGAUCAAACUCUGUGGGAGUAAGUCCAGGUCUCGGAAGCGCUCGCAAGUGAUAUGUGAGGAUCAUUUUACAGUAAGUGAAUGUGUUGGUUAAUUGCUACUCCUCUUAAUUUUGAAGGAAUUUAAAAUUCCAUAGCAGACACUGACUGUACAUUAGACAGCAUGCAUCACUGGAAACAUUCAGUGAUUAUCUUGUGGACUGUCUCACUUUAAGUGUUUAUUUCAAAUGAAAAUGAUUGGUCUUGACGUGUUUGCAGCUUACACUAGCUAAAUCAGUCCAUGUUCAAAUCUAGCAUUUCCAUCAUUUGAUGAGCUUUGAAAAAUGAGUAGGCAGCUCUUUAGUGCCACAGGGACAUGCGAUUUAAAAGAUUUUCCACCAGUACAAAAUUUGUAAUUUGAGUCAUCGAAUGAUAUGAAGGUUUGUGUAACAGUUUCUGAAAAUUCUCUAACUUUUGCUCCAGCUAGAAAGGACUUGGAAAACUACUGGCAGUUCAUGAAUUCAGAGAGGCUGGGUUUACCACCAGUCAAGGGAAAGCUGAAGAAAGGUGUCUUACCCACCAAGUUUAUUUUUCACCCAGAUAAAGAAGGGAAUGAUGGCAUACAGGCGACUUCUUUUCUCUGCCAAAAUAUGUCUCUGCCAGAGUCAGAUACUGAGAUUGGAGCGGCAGUUCCUUCGAGUGUGAAGCCAUCCUCCUCACAGAGCUGCACGUCACCUUUCUUCUUGUCAACUGGGUUAAAUUCUUGCUUGAGCCACGAGACCUCUGUUUUGGAAUCUGCUGUGCCUUUUCUUUCUAUUUUGGUUGAAGACGGAACAAAGAGCUCCUCUACUGCAAUCGGACAUUCAAUUGACGCAAGCAAUGAUGAUCUAGUAACAUCGUCCUGUCCCAAUAGCUUAUCUGAAUCUGUUAAGUGUGGCGAUAGUCUAAAUCACAAAUCGUUCCGGUUUUCUGAUGAAAAAAGUAGCACUGGUACAAUGGAUGUAGUUUAUGAUUUAGACUUUGAAACUAAGAAAGAUUUCAAAUUGAAGAAGAAGUUAUCCUCGACUGCAAUGAAAAUAAAGCAAUAAUUCGAAGAGGUAAAUCAUGUUCCUGCCUUUAAGCUUAAGUCUGAAGAUCAUACUGUACUAUUAACAUAUCAAGGUCAGGCGUUGUGAUUGGCUUAUUUGAUGUUUUGGACCAAUCUUAACCCUUGACCUUGAUAGAUAUAUUGAUAGCAUUGUUUGAUCGUGUGACUCAAAUUAACAUUUUUAAGAAAUUCAUAGCUUCAAACUUUAAAUUACUGUAAUACAAAAAUUUGAGUGAUAUAUCGUCACCAUCCAGCCGAAGUAUCACAUGGGCGGUUGUUGAUAAUUUGGAAUAUAAAGCGACUUCUUGAGUUCUGGGCUGUUCAGAUUUAAAAGUAACAAUUCAGGCAUCAAAUAUAAUUGUUAACUCUUUAAAAACAUAUCUUUUAUUUUUUUAUUUAAAUGUGCUGAAGACUUAGAAAACUGAGUAUCACGAGGGCGAAAAUGGAAACUCUUACUUUUCUCUGAAAUUUUUUCAAAAUCAGAUACGAAAAGUGAUUCUGAAUAUCUGUUGAAAAUUUCAAAUCUCUGUUGUGUUUAUAAUAGCCGCUUCCAUUCUACACUAGUCUUAUGGAGAUUGGCACUCUAUUGGUGUUUGUGAUAAUUUGACCGGAAGGUGACAAGAUAAUUGUUAGUCAAACUUCUUAUCAUUUCUUGGAAAAUACGAAGGUUGUCGCAAAAUAAAUGGAAGUGAAUCUAACUUUUGGAAACAAGAAUAGAUAUUAAGAUGAUCUUGUGCAAGAUUGUAGAUUGUCAUCCUUAGCUUUUCCAUGAGCCCAAGAUGAGCACAAUUGGUCAAAAUUCACUAACAUGCAACAAUUUGGCCAAUUAGUUUUUUUUUUUUUUAAAAAGGUAAGUUAGUAAAAAAAACACGGAGUUCAUUGAAAAGUUCAAAAAAUAAUUGGGGAGAAAAAGCUAAUCAAAAUCUGACCAAUUUACAGCAGACAGUUGAGUCGACGUAGCGUAGCGAUACCUGAAGCUGAUAUCAGCCGAUCAGCAAACUCUGUUCCCCCCCCACCACGCUACUUCAUCAGAGCUUGCCAAAAUUUGUCUCUACCGGAUCCUUUUUUGACAUUUUCAAAUCAGGGCUCCAAGAAGGAACUUAUCUCAUUCUAAGUUGCAAAACCCACUCACACAAUUCUUCAUUCACAU